rnacentral:rRNA from 1 species
UACAGAGGUCUCAAGCGUUGUUCGGAUUCAUUGGGCGUAAAGCGCGUGUAGGCGGCUAGGCAAGUCGGGUGUGAAAGCCCUCAGCUCAACUGAGGAAGUGCGCCCGAAACUGCGUGGCUUGAGUACCGGAGAGGAUGGCGGAAUUCCCCAAGUAGAGGUGAAAUUCGUAGAUAUGGGGAGGAACACCGGUGGCGAAGGCGGCCAUCUGGACGGAUACUGACGCUGAGACGCGAAAGCGUGGGGAGCAAACAGG